UGCAGCAAUGUAAACGGGUGGGAGCGGCGUAAGGGUGCGUAACGCGUGGGUAAUUUGCCGUGAAGUUGGGAAUAACUCCGAGAAAUCGGAGCUAAUGCCGAAUGUGGUUGCCUGGGGGCAUCUCCGGGUUACUAAAGUUGGGGACCGAAAGGCCUGACGCUUCACGAUAAGCCCGCGCCCUAUCAGCUAGUUGGUGAGGUAACGGCCCACCAAGGCUAAGACGGGUAGCUGGUCUGAGAGGACGACCAGCCACACUGGAACUGAGACACGGUCCAGACACCUACGGGUGGCAGCAGUCGAGAAUUUUUCACAAUGGGCGCAAGCCUGAUGGAGCGACGCCGCGUGGGGGAUGAAGGGCUUCGGCCCGUAAACCCCUGUCAUUUGCGAACAAACCUUUCCCGAUAACACCGGGAGAGCUGAUGGUAGCGAAAGAGGAAGGGACGGCUAACUCUGUGCCAGCAGCCGCGGUAAUACAGAGGUCCCAAGCGUUGUUCGGAUUCACUGGGCGUAAAGGGUGCGUAGGUGGUGAGGUAAGUCGGAUGUGAAAUCUCUGAGCUCAACUCAGAAAUGGCAUUGGAAACUACCUUGCUAGAGGAUUGGAGGGGGGACUGGAAUUCACGGUGUAGCA
rnacentral:rRNA from 1 species